rnacentral:rRNA from 1 species
UAAUACUAGCGGUCCAAGUCGCAGCCAUUUUUAUUGGGUCUAAAACAUCCGUAGCUUGCUUUGUAAGUCUUUUGUGAAAUUCUGUAUCUUAAGUAUGGAGCGUGCAAAAGAUACUGCAGAGCUAGAGACUGGGAGACGUAAGAAGUAUGUUCAAAGUAGCGGUAAAAUGUUUUAAUCUUGAACAGACUCACAAUAGCGAAGGCAUCUUACGAGAACAGUUCUGACAGUAAGGGAUGAAGGCUAGGGGCGCAAAACGGAUUAGAUACCCGUGUAGUCCUAGCUGUAAACACUGCACACUAAACAUCAGUACCUCCUCGAGAGGUAUUGGUGCUGAAGGGAAGCCGAAGAGUGUGCUACCUGGGAAGUAUAGUCGCAAGGCCG